GGCGAGGUUGCGGAGCGGUCAAACGCAACAGACUGUAAAUCUGUCGGCCUCAGCGCCUUCGAAGGUUCGAAUCCUUCCCUCGCCACCA
rnacentral:tRNA from 1 species